UAAUUAAGUCAAUGGAACAAUAACCUUGUAACCUGGUCAGGGCGGGAACGCAGCAGCCACAUCAAGAAGUGUUGUGUCUGUUGACUUUUUGUAUUGA
rnacentral:SRP_RNA from 1 species